CCAAGACCGGAGCGCUGGAUGGCGCUGGUGGGGGCUGGAUGCGCCCACGACUCGCCCUCCCUCCCUCUCCCUCCCUCUCCGUCCCUCUCUCCAGUCAGAGUCACACGGUGGGACACGCGAUCGGACGGAGACUGGCGGCGACAGCACCCGGGGAGGAGAAACGCCGUGAAGGAGCGUCCACAUGGGAACAACAGUGCUGCCCAGUCAACAUCCAUCUGACAGAAUACUCCCGGGGAUGCCUCGGACACACUCUCACGUCUUCAAACACAAACAGCUAAAUCCAAGGAUCUAGAGAAAAAAAAAGAAAAAGAAAAAAGCCAACCGCUGGCUCCGGCAAGUGGACAGAUUUUAAAGUAGACGCACGGCUGAAGAGGGCGGGGGCGUAUGGACGCCAAAUCCCCGUUCAAGACACACCACAACUCCUUGAUCCGCCGCCGCCUCCAUCGACCUCCCCCCUCCAUCCCCUCCUCCCCCGUGCCACUCUCCUUCUCCCUCGUUCCCUCUCAUGGGCGUGACAUAGAGGCCAUCGCUUGGUCUGCUGCCCCGCCCCUUCCCCGCCCCACCGUGGCAACGGGGGCGUCCGGGUAGUGAUGUCGUGGAAGAGGAACUAUUUUGCGUCGGGCGGCGGAGCAGCGGCUGGGGUGCAGGGGCUGGUGACCCCGCGAACCAUGACCUCUAUUGCACCCAGCAAAGGCCUGAGCAACGAGCCGGGACAGAACAGCUGCUUCCUCAACAGCGCUCUGCAGGUUCUGUGGCAUCUCGACAUCUUUCGCCGGAGCUUUCGACAGCUGACCACACACAAGUGCAUGGAGGACUCGUGCAUCUUUUGUGCUCUGAAGAGUAUCUUUGCUCAGUUCCAGUUCAGCAGUGAGCGCGUGUUGCCAUCGGAUGCACUGCGGAGCGCUCUGGCCAAGACUUUCCAAGACGAACAACGCUUCCAGCUGGGUAUCAUGGACGACGCCGCCGAGUGCUUUGAGAACCUCCUGAUGCGUAUCCACUUCCACAUCAGCGCGGAGAGUCGAGAGGACAUCUGCACAGCCAAACACUGCAUACCGCACCAGAAGUUUGCCAUGACUCUGUUCGAACAGUGUGUGUGUAACAGCUGUGGAGCCACAUCAGACCCCCUGCCCUUCAUUCAGAUGGUUCAUUACAUCUCCACUACAUCCCUCUGUAACCAGGCGGUGAGGAUGCUGGAGUGCAGAGACAAACCCACACCGGACAUGUUUGGAGAGCUGCUCCGCAACGCCAGCAACAUGGGAGACCUGCGCAACUGCCCUAGUAACUGUGGGGAGGUGCUGCGUAUCCGCCGGGUGCUGAUGAACUCUCCGGAGAUCGUGUCCAUCGGGUUGGUGUGGGACUCGGACCACUCGGACCUGGCGGAGGACGUCAUACACAGCCUGGGGACCUGCCUUCGUUUGGGAGACUUGUUCUACCGUGUGACAGAGGAGAGGGCUCGCCAGGCGGAGCUCUAUUUGGUGGGCAUGGUGUGCUACUACGGUAAGCACUACUCCACCUUCUUCUUCCAGACCAAGCUACGCAAGUGGAUGUACUUCGACGACGCCCACGUCAAAGAGAUCGGCCCGAAGUGGAAGGACGUGGUGUCCCGCUGUAUCAAAGGCCACUAUCAGCCCCUGCUGCUGCUCUACGCUGACCCCCGUGGGACGCCGGUGAUACUGCAGGAGAGCCCCAACCCCUGUACCAGCUCCAACCCGCAGCUGGAGCUUCAGCACUGCAGCAGCAAGGCUGGUUACGACAGCGAAGACUCCGGUCGGGAGCCGUCCAUAUCCAGCGACACUCGGACCGACUCUUCGACGGACAGCUCGAGUCACCGCGCCUCCCGCAGCCGAUCGCUCCACCAGUCCACGGGCAGCCACCUCUCCAGUGAAUCCCAGACCACGGUGGUCUGCAACUACGACAUCGGCACCCCACCGCACAGUGCUGACGCCAGAGAGUCAGCAGUGGAGGGUCCCCCCCGCCCGUCCUCUCCUCCCCUGCCGGAGUACAAGGAGACGGCCGUCUUCCUCCUCUCCUCGCGCCGGCCUCUCACCUCCUCCUCCUCCUCCUCUCGUCCCCUGUCCUCCUCCUCUUCGUCAGGAGUAGGGGGCUGCGAGGGCGGGGCUGGGGGCCCCCACUGGGAGGAUGAAAGCACCAGCAGUGAGAGCAAGUCCAGUUCAUCUGGAGGCCGCUACAGGCCGACCUGGAGGCCCAGGAGAGAGGCCCUGAACAUAGACAGCAUCUUCAACCGCCAGCGAGGCUCCUCUCUGGGCUACAACACGCUGCCUGGUCCCUCUCUCCCGCCGGAGCCCCAGGACUCCCUCCCCGCCCCGGGACCCGCUCCACCCACACAGCCAGGCCUGCAAGAGGUGGAAGGGAGGGAGAUCGGGGAGUUGGAGGCGGGGUUUGGGCUGGUCGGGCAGCCCAGGUCUCUGGGCGGCGGGCGGACGAUGGGCCCCCCUGCCCCUCCGCCUCUGAGAGGGGUGGAGCACCAGCCACGUCUGAUCCAGAGGAUGGAGAGUGGCUACGAGAGCAGCGAGAGGAACAGCAGCAGUCCCGACAGGGAGGUGGGGCAACAGAAACGGGUGCUCAUGUCUGGACCUUCCUGGCGUUCGGUGCCCAAGUCGAAGAGCACCGGUGCCAUCCUGCAGGAGCUGCCUUCACCCAGCUGGGUCAGCAGCGCCAACACAGGCUCAGGGCGCAGUGAGCUGGACGAGCUGCAGGAGGAGGUGGCGAGGAGAGCCCGCCAGCAGGAGCAGCAGAAGCGGAGGGAGGCGGAGCGGGAGGCAGCAAUGGGAUUCAACCCCAGACCCAGCAAAUUCAUGGACCUGGACCAGCUCCAACACCAGGCUGUGCUCAGACCCCUGCAUGAGGCUAACGCUCAUAGCGGAUUGGCUGUAGCCGCGUGCAUGAGGAGCACUGGGGGCCCAAUCAAACGCAGGCAGGAUCAGGAAAUGGAACUGGAGGCAGGAAGCGCCCGUCCACAGGGGCGUCACAGUGAACAGCCUGGCCCGGUCCAAGUACUGCUGACGCCCAAUCAGGAGGAGGAAGAGGACCAGGCAGUGCCCAACCAGGAUGCUGCUCUGGGCCCGGACCCGCCCCCUCCACCCUAUCGGCCCGCUCCCCCCCGACCCCCACUCAGCCUCAGCAUCGCUCACCCUUGUGCCCCUUCCAGCCGAGGGGAGGAGGAGGAGGAGGAGGUCGGAUGUGUGGGGAGGAGAAGGGAGGAAGGUGAAGAUGGGAGGGAGGGGACCGGGGUGAGGCUGUGUGAGUUGCUGCAGGCAGGGGGGGUGAGUGUCAGACCUCUGGGGAAGCACCUAGCCAUCUCUCUGCCCUCGCUUCCUCUGCGUCUCUGGGAUACACACAUCACACACACCGCACACUCCACACACCUUGAGCCCACACACACACCCCCUACCCCUCUGCCCUCUACUCCUCCCCCAUCCUCCCCACUGGAAGCCUCUGGGCAAAGGAAACCUCUAGCGCCUCUCUGGCAGCCCCCCCGGCCCCAUUCCCCCACUGUCGCCACCCAGCACUGGCUGAGGCACGGGGACGCGUCCGACGGCGGCACACGUCAUUGGUCCUCCUGGAGUUUGGACCGCCCUGACGCCGUGGUGAUGCCAUACAGCACGCCCCCAGACUACUGCGCUCCCAUCAGGCCGCGGGCGUCCAGCCAGAACUACAGCUACAGUUGCCAGUACUCUCCAGGGCACCGCAGCUCCCAGCAUGCCCCAGGGCAACACAGUGACCCCCGCUAUGACCGCGAGGAGGCUGAGCUGUCUGAGCUUGACUCCCUUUUCCAGGCCAGUCUGCAGGCUGGAAAGACAGGCUGCAGCCCGUCAGAGAGGCUCAUAUCCAGGGUGGGAGGGCAGGGUCGCUCUAAGACCCCCAACGCAGACAUGGAGAGGAGUGUGUAUGGGGCUGAUGGCACCAGCACCCCCACCUACCUCAACAAGCCAGCGAUGGUGCGGGAUCUGCGUUUUGGGGCGGAGCCCGGCGACGGGGAAAACCUGCGGCGAAUUGGCCGCAGCCUGAGCGGCACAGUGGUGACCUCGCGCCGCGGCCGCCUCACUGCAACCCGCAGCUUUGUGAAGCAGACUGAUGUCAGUGCCUCUCCUUGCUAACUUCCUCUCUUCUGAGUCCCUGUUGCUAUUUCACCACUCUCAUCUUCUCCAUCAUCCUCAUCACCAACACCUUCUCAUGACCACCUCCCUCCACUGCUUCACAGGAGCUGUCGGGCAAUGCUGGGAGUUUCUGGCUGUGUCUGACGGGGGUCAAGCUGUCCUCCGACCAGAGUCCCGCUCUGCUUCACUAACGUCUCGCCGUGUCAACACUGCCACGCGGGGCGGCGGCGGCGGCGCCGCGGUCCUUUUCGACGGCCUCGCCUGCGACGGACCUGGCAUCGGGAGGAUCAAAAACUCAGCUGCGAUCCCGUUCUUUCUCCUUCCCCCCCGUCAAACGACAUGCACACGCAUACACAUGCACGCACACACACGCACAUCGGCACUGACGUAGAGCCUCCCUCAGCGCCUGCAGCACCCUGCUUUGCCUCACCUUGCCCCCCCCUUCAACCUACUAUUCUGUCUAUGCAGUCACUCUGACCCCCAACUACAACCUCAAGCUUCUCCCCUACUUCCCGGGACUGUUGUUUCUCGUCUCCCCCUGGGUUUCUCAGAGGGAAUCCCUGUGCAGUCAGCCUGGCGCGCAUGCCGCUUCCUGUGGCGUGGUCAGUUUUGCGUUGGUUUGGGCACCGGCCCGGGUCUGACUGGGACCCGAGCUCUCGGCUGACUCGCCCCUCCAUCCCGCGGGACCCUCCGCUCAGGGGGAGGCUCUUACCAAGUAGCCAGGCCCUCUUCCUCUUUCUUCACGGGCAUUUCCUGUUGGACGCACACGUAGCCGAACUGGGUCUGUUUUAAGAUGGACAGCCAUAUUCUUUUCUCUCUUUUGAUUUAGGGUUUGUCUGUUUGUUUUGUUUUUUUCUUCCUGUGUGCGCGCACAGUAGACCCGCCCGAGACCGAACUCUCUAUUAACUAAAAGUCAUGUACAGAAAAACUCAUGUAUGAAACCUGUAUGUUAAUUAAUAAGACCUUAUGGAAUGUUGAUAAUGAUAAUUAACAAUUAUUGAUAAACUUAAAGUGGUACUUCCUCAUGUCUGCAUUUCAAAUACGAGUGGAGUGCACUUCACAAGUGUCUAGCUGGAGUUACCACCCCUCCUACCCAAACCGCUCGCCGACCUAAUGACAGCUCUCCCGUUUCUACCGGGAGAUUAAACAAGAAAAGCGCUUCCUUUUUCUCUGCGUCUUUCCUCUCCUCCUUUCCUUUCUUGCUCUCUUUUAUUCUCGCUUGCUUUCUUCCCUCCGGACAGGUUAAAAAAAAAAACGGUAGCACCGGAAACAGGCCAGCAAGGGGGGGAAAGUCGAGAAGGAAUGGGAGAAUGUAGCUUUAGGGAAUCCCUUCUCUUGGGCUUUAUCAGUGAGCAGAGAGACGACUCAAGUGCGCUUUGUAAGAUUACUUGGCAGAAGAAGUGCACUUUCCGAAGGCUGUUUGACCAAGAAGCAGGUGGAGCGACGUCAGUGGUGUUUGUUUAACUUAAAAAGGCCUCAGGUGAACUUCAGUGGCACUUAUGAAUUCACACUUUAUUAUUUCUCUCACCCACUGAAACUGUUUUUUUGAGAUCUCAGCUGUGAAUAGAAAAAAAGAAAGAAGCUCAUCUUCAGCCUGAGACAGUGACAUGUCAAAUAUGAGUAUACUUUAUAUGAUAUGUAUGUAUUAGAGGUAUAUUUUCAGCCAGUGAGCUAUCUUCUUUAGAGAUGUCAACCAUUCCUCAGUUGUAUGAAGAGUUAUUAUACAGUAAUGAACAGAUUUAACUUAAUUCACCCCCCUUUACUGAGUAGCAUUCUGACAUGUGUAGAGUACAUUUAUUAUAUGCUUUAUUCUAUUAAAUAUCAUAAAAAAAUUACAACGUCCUUAUUAUAAAACUGGCCAAUGUAAAGUUCUUUAAGAAUUUACUGAUGUUGACCGAUCGUUGUGACUAAACCAAAGGUUGGCACUUAACUCAGAGAGCUUAUUUAACAUCGUCGUUUCUGGGUUUUUUUCCCCAUUUAGGUUCAGAUUUUGUUGAUGUAGGUUUGUUUGUCUGUUAGUUUGUUUGUUGUUUGGGGUUUUGGAUGUGGGAGAAUGUAGCCAAUUGUAGCGCAUGAGUCCGCUAUGCAAAUGAACCUUCCCUCCUGUAUCAGAGACGAGUCAGGAGGCAGACACACCCACCCACGGGCGCUCUCAUGGACUCUGGGCGGCGACGCGGGGGAGAGGGGGGAGAGAAUCUCAUGUUUAAUGCUGCUGGUGAACUUUGUUGUUCUGCAUCUACUGCUAUGUUUCAUCCAAUGGAAUGCAAAAAAGAGGGCAACACGGAGGGAGAGAGUGGGAUGGAGAAAGAGAGCGAAUGAAUGUAAACUAAAGGAUGAAAGUGUGAGAUUUUUUGGGUUUUUUUGGCGAAUGACAUGAGCCCGAGAGGGGUGGAGACUGGGCGAACGGCCGAAGGUGGUUUAUUGUUUGUGGGUGUGUGUAGAUUAAUGUGUGUCAGUUCUGGGGUGUUGUUGCUCGGGGAAAGAGGGAACCUGUAUUUUUGCAAUAAAGUUAUUACCAAUGCACUCCCACAGGGGGCGUAACCACCGUAA